UUUUGAUGAGCACAUAGAUUUUUUUUUUUGGCCUAAAACCAUUUUUUAAAAUUUUUAAAAAAAUUGAGAGCGUGGAAGCGUCGCUGGAAGCGUCUGUGUUGACUGUUUUCUGGGCAACGCGGACGUGGACACAUCACUGCUCUCAAGCCUCCCGGUGACUUUCUACAAAAGGGAAAUAGGCCCUGUGCUUUCUGUCUCCUCAAUGACAAAGGAGGCUUUGGAGCCUGGACGUCUUCACUGGAACAUGCUAAUCCUCCCACCGGCUCCCAUCUGCUCGCCCGUCUCCCCCAUCCUCUGACCUCCGUCCGUCUG